rnacentral:rRNA from 1 species
CUCAGGAUGAACGCUGGCGGCGUGCUUAACACAUGCAAGUCGAGCGAAGCACUUUUUUAGAACUCUUCGGAGGGAAGAGAGGGUGACUUAGCGGCGGACGGGUGAGUAACGCGUGGGCAACCUGCCUUACACAGGGGGAUAACAAUUAGAAAUGAUUGCUAAUACCGCAUAAGACCACAGCAUUGCAUGAUGCAGUGGUAAAAACUGAGGUGGUGUAAGAUGGGCCCGCGUCUGAUUAGGUAGUUGGUGGGGUAGAAGCCUACCAAGCCGACGAUCAGUAGCCGACCUGAGAGGGCGACCGGCCACAUUGGGACUGAGACACGGCCCAAACUCCUACGGGAGGCAGCAGAGGGGAAUAUUGCACAAUGGGGGAAACCCUGAUGCAGCGACGCCGCUUGAGUGAGGAAGUAUUUCGGUAUGUAAAGCUCUAUCAGCAGGGAAGAAAAUGACGGUACCUGACUAAGAAGCCCCGGCUAACUACGUGCCAGCAGCCGCGGUAAUACGUAGGGGGCAAGCGUUAUCCGGAUUUACUGGGUGUAAAGGGAGCGUAGACGGAAUUGCAAGUCUGAUGUGAAAAUCCGGGGCCCAACCCCGGAACUGCAUUGGAAACUGUAUUUCUAGAGUGUCGGAGAGGCAAGUGGAAUUCCUGGUGUAGCGGUGAAAUGCGUAGAUAUCAGGAGGAACACCAGUGGCGAAGGCGGCUUGCUGGACGAUGACUGACGUUGAGGCUCGAAAGCGUGGGGAGCAAACAGGAUUAGAUACCCUGGUAGUCCACGCCGU